AUUGAACGCUGGCGGCAUGCUUUACACAUGCAAGUCGAACGGUAACAGGGUGCUUGCACCGCUGACGAGUGGCGAACGGGUGAGUAAUGCGUCGGAACGUGCCGAGUAGUGGGGGAUAACGCAGCGAAAGUUGUGCUUAUACCGCAUACGUACUGAGGUAGAAAGUGGGGGACCUUCGGGCCUCACGCUAUUCGAGCGGCCGACGUCUGAUUAGCUAGUAGGUGAGGUAAAGGCUCACCUAGGCGACGAUCAGCAGCGGGUCUGAGAGGAUGAGCCGCCACACUGGGACUGAGACACGGCCCAGACUCCUACGGGAGGCAGCAGUGGGGAAUUUUGGACAAUGGGCGAAAGCCUGAUCCAGCCAUGCCGCGUGUCUGAAGAAGGCCUUCGGGUUGUAAAGGACUUUUGUCGGGGAGGAAAUCCCCAGCGCUAAUACCGCAGGGGGAUGACAGUACCUGAAGAAUAAGCACCGGCUAACUACGUGCCAGCCGCCGCGGUAA
rnacentral:rRNA from 1 species